AAGGACACUGAGAAAUAAUAGAUUUUUCUAUCUGCCUUAUAUUGGAGACUUCUUUUAUUGGAUCUGAUAAAGUUAGGCACACUCCCCCAUUUCCCAGAUGUUUGCACUUCCUAUAGCUUCUCUUAUACUACCUGCCUUUGAUGCUUAGCCAUGAGUCUGGGAUAGGGAAGAAGAAGGACAUGGCGUAGAGGAAGUGGGAAGUCUGAAACUGCCUUUCCCUGAGGGAAAUGCAGGUUGAUUAGGAAGGGGAGGUAAAUGCAAUUCCCAACCUUUUCAAUCAUGGGGCUUGUGGGGAGAAGAAAGAUAGAGGGAGGAAAGGCGAGGAGAGACGAAUGUGCCCAUCUCUUGAUGACCAAGAAUUUGAUGAUGAAUGCUUGGGUGGUGGGAAUUUGAUUCUCUCCUGCUUCACAUUCGAGACUCUGCAAGUAGAUCACUUCACGGGCUGCCUUCCUUAACUGGAAUAAAUUUAGGCUCAUGAAUAAAAAUUCCUACAUUGUCUUUAUAUGUCUCAUUAUACUACAGAGUUGUGAAAACUUUGUUAGCGCAAGUAUUUAUCCAUGGCCUAGUUUCUGGAAAUCUCUGUCCUAGACUAGCACUAUUUCAGUCUCUUUCCAGUUGGAUUUAGUUUGUUUGUUUAGAUUAUAAGGAAAAGAGAGCUCCUCAAGUUGCUUCAAAUAAAAAAAUGGUAUUUUGAAGAUAAAUGUGGUUCCGCUGAGGGCUAGAAAUCUUGGACACCGAGGCAGCACUGGGAACAAAUACCUCUCCUGGAGAUUGUACUUCUCUCUGUCUAUCUGCUCCCUGCUCUAUGGACCUGUUCUGGUUUUCUUUUGCUGCACAACAAUCCGCUCCAAAACUUAGUGGCUCUAAAUAACAAGGUUAUCAUCUCUCAUAGUUCUAUGAGUUAACUACACUCUACAUUUCUCACCUGGGUGUUUCAUGUAGUUGGAGUCAGAUAGCAGCUGGGGCUAGAAUGAUCUAAAGGUUCAACUGGUCUGGACUUCCAAAAUGACUUGCCACAUGGCUGGCAGUUUAUGCUGGCUGCUGAUGCUGGGAGUUCAGCUGAGCCUGUUGACUGGAGUAACUAUGUGUGGCCUUCCAAUGUGGCUUAGAUUUCUCUUGGCAUGUCCUCUGGGUUCUAAGAGAGAACAUCCCAAGAUCCAGCAUUCCAAGAGACCUAGGUGGAAGCUGUAAGCCUUCUUAUGGCCCAUUCUUGGAAACCACACUCUAUUACCUCCUCCAUAUUUGACUGGUUGCAGGGUCAGGCCAGAUUUAAGGAGAGAAGACCACAAAAGAGCAUGAAUACCAAGAUGACUCGUUGAUUGGGAGGGCCAUCUUUGAAGAACAGAUACCAUAAGACCAUUCGUUUGCAUACCCAUAGUUUCUGCUCCCAUAACUUUAAUUUGUUUAUGAUCCAUCCUGACUGCUAUCUCUGGCCUCUAUAGACGUUUUUCCAUGAUGUCCUUUUAAGUUUAUGUCCCCACUCUUACUGCUUUCAUCAUUCAGUUCACAGAUUCCAAAUUCUUGAUGAAGCACUCUGUUUGGUCCAAAGUUUCCCUGGACAGUCUAUGGAUUGCUUGCUCAGCUCUUGUCCUAUCAGUUACGACCAGAUUUGGGUGGGGCACAGUGGCAUUAAACAAAGCAACCCAGAUUUGCCUUCUCAUUAGGGUCAUGGGUAGGACAGUCCCUCUAGGAUGCACAUCCUGUACAAAUUGUUUUUGCCUUACCCUUGCCCAUGGAUUUGAUAAUUAACUAGUGCCACUAUUAAGGGACCAAGAGUCUAGAGAGAUCAGUUCCAGAGCCUCUGUCUCAUGUUUGACAUCUAGUUUUCAGCUCUUAAAUUCUGCUACAUAAUUCUGCUAGGCCAGGCUCUACGAAUCCUGGCAUUUAACCUUUGCCUUUGUUGUCCACAACUCAAAGAAUACACUUGUGUCUUAGCACUUGAACAGAGUAUUAGUCAUGAAUUCUAGACCCCUCAUUUUAGAGAUGGGGAAAGGAAGACUUUAGAAGUAUAUUGAUUAAAAAUAAGUAUAUAAAGGGGCCGGCCGGUGGCGCAGCAGUUAAGUGCGCACGUUCCGCUUUGGCGGCCUGGGGUUCGCCGGUUCAGAUCCUGGGUGUGGACAAGGCACUGUUCAUCAAACCACGCUGUGGUAGGCGUCCCACAUAUAAAGUAGAAGAAGAUGGGCACAGAUGUUGGCUCAGGGCCAGUCUUCCUCAGGAAAAAAGAGGAGGAUUGGCAGCAGUUAGCUCAGGGCUAGUCUUCCUCAAAAAACAAAAAACAAAAAACAAAAACAAAUGAACAAACAAACAAAAAUAAGUAUAUAAAGGGGCCAGCCUCGUGGCAUAGUGGUUAAGUUCGUGCACUCUGCUGCAAUGGCCUGGGAUUUGCAGGUUCUGAUCCUGGGCAUGGACCUACACUACUCAUCAAGCCAUGCUGUGGUGGCAUCCCACAUACGAAAAAUAGAGGAAGAUUGGCAUAGAUGUUAGCUCAGGGACAAUCUUCCUCACCAAAAAAAUAAAAAUAAAAAUAAGUAUAUAAAGGCAGAGACAGACUAAACUCAAUUCCAAAGACUCCAAAUCCAGCACUCCCUACUGCACCAUGAUGCUUCUCUAGGAGGAAAAGGCAACUCAGGGGCCAGCAAAAGUAGACACACAGAACACAAAAGAUAGCAGAUGGACCCACGUUGAUACCACCAAGGCCCACUCAGACAGAAAACAUUGCUCACUUUCUCAACAACUUAGCAACCAGGUUUCUACUUCUUGGUUGGCUGCUGGCAUCUGCAGAUCCAGCUGACUCUCACUCUAGUUGGUCUGCAAGUUUGGCCCACCCUAACUCUCUACCCAUCCCAGUGACCAGCAUUGACUUAGAAUCUCCCAUUCCCACCCUUGCGUCUCAACAGGAAAGAGGUCGGCAUCUUGGCACAUCUCUUUAAAGCCAUUUUCACAUGCUGCUGUAGGCUCUCUGGGGAGCUCGAGAAUAUUCUGGGCUCAGUGACUUCAGCCCACAUAAACUCAGGGAGUAUUUACUUAUAUGGGACUUUUCAACCCCACUUUCCAAUCUGAGCUGAGGAAUUAGGCAAAAUGCCUUGAAUUUAUCAAGGGAAACAUAAAAUUCUGCAGAGUAGUAUUGGUUAAAAAAUAGCACUCUAUACGGAAAGUAGAAAAGUGCUAGAGAAUCACCAUCCUUGAAGGUUUUUAAGAUAAAAACAACAAUGCUCAUAAUUUAGGGAUAAAUUGGGUGACAGGAAAAGCAAGAUUUCUCAAGGUUCUUUCCAGGUGCAGUUCUUAGGAAGAAAUGUUUUUGGUAAAUAUAGUAAAGAAGAGGGAGAUAAUACAUUUCCCAAUUUGGGAUUUUUUUGUUUUAAGUCCUUGAGGCAGAGCUGUGGCAUUGAGGGCAGUUAGCUUCAGGGUUUACUUAGACAAAACUGUGAAUUCAGUCAAUCUGUUUUCCCUACUCCAUCAUUCUUUUUGGCACAUUUUUACUCUCAUCAUGCAAACUCUUUUCCCUGCCUUCAAAUAGAGUACCAUUCCUUUACUCUGUUAUCAAAACCUGCUAAAUGUCAAGCAUAACCUAAUGAAUAUUGAGUGAUGCUCAUUGUCUAAUAUGUUAAUUAAUCUAAGAGAGGGACUUCGCUGGUGUUUCUAAAAUUAUGACAAGCAGGAAGGCUCCCCUUCCACUUUAUUUAUACAUUGACCCUGGACCGCUUUGCCUGACAUGGUAUCCUGGAAAUAGCAUUGUCUUUGGAGCCAGACAGACCCUGGGCGACGUUGAGCAGUUACUUCUUCGUAAGCCUCAGUUUUCUCCUUUAUAAAACAAUAGCUAAUAGGGUAAACCCAGUGAUAUUGUCAUUUUAGUGUCCCAACUUAAUAUCUCCCAGAGUUGUCAUGAGUUUUAAAUGAGACGAUGUGUGCAAAGUUUGUAACACAUGGCUGGUCACGAGUCAGAUGCUCCUACAGUGUUAGUUCAUUCCCCUUGCUUAUUCAAUCUAUUCUGAUGCCACAACAAUGGUAUUACUCUCUCUUUCUAAAAAUGAAAAACAGGUCCCACACGUUUUCCAUGGAAAGUCCUUUUAUCUUUCACUUCUGUUUUUCCUUCACAUGUUGAAACAUUGCUCAUCUAAAUAACAGAGAGCUACUGAACUGUAGGAUUUCCUUAUAUCCAGAAUUUUCUUAUAGUAACUGAUAAUGACCUCUCUCCCUCCCCUUUUGUAAAUUCUUUUUUCAAAAUUUGCUAUGCCCCAGAAACAGGCUAUUUACACUACGUAUGUUUCAGAAAUCCCUUAUAAUGAACCAUACAAAUCUAUUUGUCCUGCUGCUACUAUAAUUGCCUAUAUCUUAUUAUAACUUAAUAUGUAACAGAUUUUUUUUGGCGAGGCCAGAAGCAACUGAGCAUUCACUGAAAACGCAGAUGCUGAAGGUUGUUGUGGAGCCAGUGAACCCACUAAUUGGAUAAAGGGGGGGGAUGGUUGUGGAAAUUUAAUUAAACUGGCAUUUACUCUAGCUGCUGAAAAUAUUAAUCAGAAAAUGAGUUGCACAAGAAAAGUAAUAGGCAAGGCAGGGGCUGGUGACAUGAAAAAUGCUAUUGGUGCCAUUCUUCCUGGCAUUGAUAAGAAAGUGAUUCUCUUUUUUCCCCGAGGUGUGGGUCAUCUGUCCAGUGAGCUCUGCCUAUAGCUUGUUUGGGCAAUGAUGACAAAGAAACGUGCUUGGAAAGCUGUGAGUUGGGAGGAGGAGUGUGAGAUUCUUGAUUUGGGGACCAGAUGCAUCUCUUGGCAGUCCUUGAUACAAACAUAAAGAUAAAAUAUGUGUCUGAAAAAAAAAA
ensembl:lncRNA